rnacentral:sRNA from 1 species
CGAAAACGCCCGCAGGGUGAGGCGUAAAACGCCGAAUCAAACCUUCGGUUCGACGACUGAGCAUAGCGAAGGAGAACGUCGCGCACUUUGCGACGGCCCGCAGGGCGAAGGCCAAAGGCCUGAGUAAUCCCUCCCUCUCCGCCA